rnacentral:rRNA from 1 species
GUCUCUUCGGGGAUGAUUAAACCGGCGCACGGGUGAGUAACACGUGAGUGACCUGCCUUUUAGACUGGAACAACUUACCGAAAGGUGAGCUAAUGCCGGAUGAGUUAUAUAAGUGCAUGUUUAUAUAGGAAAAGUUGGGGAGACAUGACGCUGAAAGAUGGACUCGCGUCCCAUUAGCUAGUUGGUAGGGUAAUGGCCUACCAAGGCGACGAUGGGUAGCCGGCCUGAGAGGGUGGCCGGCCACACUGGGACUGAGACACGGCCCAGACUCCUACGGGAGGCAGCAGUGGGGAAUUUUGCGCAAUGCUCGUAAGAGUGACGCAGCGACGCCGCGUGAAUGACGAAGGCCUUCGGGUCGUAAAGUUCUUUCGACAGGGAAGAAAAUGCCUAUAAGUAACUGUGUAUGUAUUGACGGUACCUGUAUAAGCAGCCCCGGCUAACUCCGUGCCAGCAGCCGCGGUAAUACGGAGGGGGCGAGCGUUGUUCGGAGUGACUGGGCGUAAAGAGCACGUAGGCGGUGUUGUAAGUCAUUAGUCAAAGACUAGAGCUCAACUUUAGUAAGGCUAGUGAUACUAUAAUACUAGAGUAUCAGAGAGGAUUGCAGAAUUCCUGGUGUAGCGGUGAAAUGCGUAGAUAUCAGGAGGAAUACCGUUAGCGAAGGCGGCAAUCUGGCUGGAAACUGACGCUGAGGUGCGAAAGCGUGGGUAGCAAACAGGAUUAGAUACCCUGGUAGUCCACGCUGUAAACGAUGGAUGCUAGGUGUUGGGCUUUUAAGUUCAGUGCCGCAGCAAACGCGAUAAGCAUCCCGCCUG